UGGCGGCUGAGACAGCACAGACAGAAAGACUGAUUGGGCUGUUUGGCAAGAGUGAGAGGUGGGUAGCCACGCUGCACUCCUGUGCUGCGGAACUGUGGCUGGACUGUGGGCGAUACCCUGCCCGCUGCUGCCUGACUGGCUGGCAAGAUGAAGCUCUCCCUGGUGGCCGCGAUGCUGCUG
rnacentral:other from 1 species